rnacentral:ncRNA from 2 species
GCCUCUGCCCGCAACUGGCGCAUCGAGAUGGACCACCAUCAGGGAGCGGGCGGUAUCGUUCAUGUCGCGCGCCUGGGCAAUCUGC